rnacentral:piRNA from 2 species
UAGCUUUUUGCUAUCAGUCCUCAACUACAUU